ensembl:lncRNA
GCGUCGAUUGAAGCGGCAGCGGCGCAAUUGUGGCUCUUCAACGAUUUGUUUCUUGAGGCGGCCACCGGGCGCUGGAGAUUGGUGUGAAACAACUGCUUCAGCAGUGUUGAACGCCUUAAAUGUAACAUCUCAAUCCGUUACGAGAAACGUUGAUUCCAGUAGAGAUGGGAUACGGCAGAGGAAGUGCAGAUCGUCGACCGAGCUCCUGCUGGUUGUCCUGAAGGCACUAAAAACCACGGGGCUGCGCACGGGAGACCCGCGGCUGAAGGAAUGCAUGGCCACGCUGAAGGAAACGCUGAAGAACACUUCAGACGGCAUCAUGCUCGACAGACACCUCUUCAAGAAGUUGGGAACCGGUUCCCCUCCUGCUCCUUGUCCUCCCCUUCUUUUUCCUCAAGCAAGCUUUUGUCUUUGGAGCCUUGUGAUAUAUUAUUUUACAUCAGGGUGGAUGUGUACAGAAAGUUUAUAUUCUUCAUUGGGAUGUCAUUUGAUUAUUCUCAGAAUGUGUUUACUUCCUAUCCACUGUGAGCACCCCCCCCCCACCCUACGAUCUGGGUCAUAUGUUCAGUCGUUUUUAUGUCAGCCUUCAUCAUUGGUCAGUCUGUGCAAGGCCCUUGAUAUGUUAUUAGUCAACGUGGCAGGAAACCCUGCCACACACCCCUGUUGCUUGGCUCCUACGAUGACCAGGUCAUAGCUGUAGCUAUGUCCUAGCGGUAGCUGUUGUAACACCCAGUUUAUUAGCGAGUUGCAACAUGGUACUCGCAGAGCAGGCAUUACCUUUCAGGAGUGUUUCGAACCGCCUCUACGUUUCUCAAGAGAGACAUGGCAAAACAACAUUUUCAUAAGCCUACAUUACGGUAUAUUUAUGGUCAUGUAGAAUUUCACAUUACAACUCUCUCAAGGAAUCACAGAAUGGUAGUAUCGGCAACCAAAAUCCAAUUGUGCAUUCUAAUGUACCAGCCGAAUAUAUAUCAACCUGCACAAGGUUAAUGUGUGAAACAAAGCAAAUGCAAUUGGGAAAGUUUCCAGCAUGCACCUCUCCCCUUCUUCGUUUCAGAGUUCACCAACAUUUGUAUGUAG